AAUGUUACUGUGAUGUGCACAUCUCGUCAGUUUUACGCCCAGCUCAAACAGUGAGGUCAGUCUCAGUUUUGCAGUGUGUGAAUACCGAAGCAAUGAAGUUCAUUGUAUGUGUCUUCUUAUUCUUGGCGAUCUUGGAGGGAUUCCAAUGUGCGCCAACAUUUUGCUUAUUUUGGCCGUGUUAUCGAGCAAAUCAAUAUUCCAAUUCACAAACAAUAACUUAUCAAAAUGUUUUCACGAAUACUGGUAACAAUAAUGUCAUGAUAGUUGGUGGGGGCGGCAGAGGUCUCUUUGGACAAUUAUUGUUAUUAUAAUAAGAUAUAUGUUUUAUAAUAACUAUUGUAAGACUAAAUUAACUUAAAAAUCGCAGGUUACUCACGUUUUCACGUGAGAAAAGUUCUACUAGUUUCGGACCACAGAGGGGUUCUUCCUCGUGGGUGGCGUGCGCAGUAGCGGCAGUGUUUCUGUGUUACUCAUUAUUUUUAUGUGAGUAACCCGCGAUUUUUUAGUUUAAUAAGAUGUAUGGAUGUUGUCUGAGAAUCAUGAGGAGUUAUACUUAAACCGAGGACCAAAUCAUGGCAUUGUUACUUUGGCAGAACAAAAAUGUUAAUCGUGAUGGACAGCUACCUGUGGGCGGCGUUUCGUUCAACAUUCGUGCCUGUUGAAAUAUCGUACCCAAAUUUUUUCACACAAAAGUAGUCUCUAAACAUCGGAAAUAAGGUCUAUAUUGUAGUUUAGAGCGGUCACCUGUGACCGCUUGGGGAUUGUCAUAAGACUCAACAUUGCACGUCUCCAAAUUAUAGUAAUAAAAUUUAAUUCAGUAUUUAAA